AUACUUACCUGGCAGGGGAGAUACCAUGAUCACAAAGGUGGUUUUCUCAGGGUGAGGCUUAUCCAUUGCACUCCGGAUGUGCUGACCCCUGCGAUUUCCCCAAAUGUGGGAAACUCAACUUAAUUUGUGGUAGUGGGGGGCCUGCAUUCAUGCUCUCCCCUG
rnacentral:snRNA from 1 species